rnacentral:rRNA from 1 species
GACGAACGCUGGCGGCGUGCUUAACACAUGCAAGUCGAACGGAAAGGCCCUGCUUUUGUGGGGUGCUCGAGUGGCGAACGGGUGAGUAACACGUGAGUAACCUGCCCUUGACUUUGGGAUAACUUCAGGAAACUGGGGCUAAUACCGGAUAGGAGCUCCUGCUGCGUGGGGGUUGGAAAGUUUCGGCGGUUGGGGAUGGACUCGCGGCUUAUCAGCUUGUUGGUGGGGUAGUGGCUUACCAAGGCUUUGACGGGUAGCCGGCCUGAGAGGGUGACCGGCCACAUUGGGACUGAGAUACGGCCCAGACUCCUACGGGAGGCAGCAGUGGGGAAUAUUGCACAAUGGGCGGAAGCCUGAUGCAGCAACGCCGCGUGCGGGAUGACGGCCUUCGGGUUGUAAACCGCUUUCGCCUGUGACGAAGCGUGAGUGACGGUAAUGGGUAAAGAAGCACCGGCUAACUACGUG